rnacentral:lncRNA from 10 species
AAGAGCCUGGACUUUGGAGACAUGCCGAGUGGGGUGACAGCUUUCUCACCCGCUGGCUCUGUGACCACAGCCCAGCCAUGUCCUGGGUGCUUCAGCUGCCAAAUGCAAAUAUCUGCCGUGCAGAGUCACGUUGCAUAUUGAGUGAGCUAUUUUAAGCAUAGAGUAUGGCAUGUAGUAGGUUCUCAGUAUAGGGUAAUCAUUAUUGUUAUUAUUCCUGUAAUAUUUUCAAAAUGUUUCUUUUAGAAUAUUUUGAUUGAUGCCUGUGUUUUAGACUCCGACUCAGGGCUCCUCCAACAGGUAUGUUUUAAAACCAUGCUUUGUGUCGGUGGUUAUGACAAUUAGUGAUUUUUAUAUUGAUUACAAUUUAAAAUGAAAGCUUUGGGUAUAUUGGGUUAAAUAAAAUAUGUUAUUCAGCCUAAUUUUAUCUAUGUCUUUCCCCCUUACGUAUGGAGCUACUGGAAAAUUUUAAAUUACAUAUUGCUUGCGUUAUAUUUCCGUUGGGCAGCACUAAAAGACAAAAACUGAAUUUUACUUUAACCCGAAAGGGAAACAAAACCCUAAAGUAAGUCUGAAGAAAUUACUGAGUUUUUGUUAGAUGUUU